GAUGAACGCUGGCGGUAUGCUUAACACAUGCAAGUCGAACGGUCACUUCGGUGAUAGUGGCGGACGGGUGAGUAACGCGUGAGAAUCUGUCUUCAGGUCGGGGACAACAGUUAGAAAUGACUGCUAAUACCGGAUAUGCCUUAUGGUGAAAGAUUUAUUGCCUGAAAGAGAGCUCGCGUCAGAUUAGCUAGUAGGUGGUGUAAGAGACUACCUAGGCGACGAUCUGUAGCUGGUCUGAGAGGACGAUCAGCCACACUGGAACUGAGACACGGUCCAGACUCCUACGGGAGGCAGCAGUGGGGAAUUUUCCGCAAUGGGCGAAAGCCUGACGGAGCAAUACCGCGCGAGGGACGAAGGCUUUUAGGGUCGUAAACCCCUUUUCUCAAGGAAGAUUUAGACGGUACUUGAGGAAUAAGCAUCGGCUAACUCUGUGCCGGCAGCCGCGGUAAU
rnacentral:rRNA from 1 species